rnacentral:rRNA from 1 species
AGCAGCCGCGGUAAUUCCAGCUCCAAUAGCGUAUAUUAAAGUUGUUGCAGUUAAAAAGCUCGUAGUUGAAUUUCGGGGUCAGUAGGUCGGUCGUGCCACUGGUAUGAACUGGUUUUACUGAUUCCUCCCUCUUGAAGAACUGUAAUGCCAUUAAUUAGGUGUUGCAGGGAAUCAGGACUGUUACUUUGAAAAAAUUAGAGUGUUUAAAGCAGGCUUUAGCUUGAAUACAUUAGCAUGGAAUAAUGAAAUAGGACGUUUGAUCCUAUUUUGUUGGUUUCUAGGAUUGACGUAAUGAUUAAUAGGGAUAGUUGGGGGCAUUAGUAUUCAAUUGUCAGAGGUGAAAUUCUUGGAUUUAUUGAAGACUAACUACUGCGAAAGCAUUUGCCAAGGAUGUUUUCGUUAAUCAAGAACGAAAGUUAGGGGAUCGAAGACGAUCAGAUACCGUCGUAGUCUUAACCAUAAACUAUGCCGACUAGGGAUCGGAUGAUGUUAAUUUUUUAAUGAGCUCA